CAUCAGUGCAAGUGUGAGUUUUCGUGUCCAACAUUUAACUAUCUGCCUUAUUUAAAAAAAUAUGAUUAGUAUUUUUAUUAUUAUUAUAUGAUAAAACAUGAAUAAUACUUUAUGUGUAACUAUUUUAAAAAAAUCAUAAAAUUUUUAAAUAAGAAUGAUGGUCAAACGUUGGAUAUGGAAAACCACAACUAUAUUUAUA
rfam:Oryza rufipogon genomic scaffold, chr08